AGACGGGCAAGCAGGGGACUGCUAUCUUGUUUGUUCCAAGGGCCUGAGGAGCAGAACAGAUUGUCUAGAGGUUUUGUGCUCUUUCCCUGGGACGAAGUGUCCAAGGCUUCCAGGUUGUCCAAGCUCCAGGCUCAAAUAAAGUGUGCUGAGGAAGCGGUGGCCACUUGAGGAUCAGGCCGGAAGAGCCUGGCUCCUGUACUAUCAGAAGACAAGAUUCAGAGACUAGAUGGGAUGGCCAUCACCCUCUUCAUCUCCUGAGAUCUGCUUGCAGACUCCACAGGGAGUUAACGGUUGCUAUGGUGACACAGGCACACCAGGACCAAAGCUGCAGGACAUGCCCAGUGCACUCAAGGUUGUCAACUGCUGCACCGACCUAUUAACUAAGGCCCUCCACACAUAG
rnacentral:lncRNA from 1 species